GCGCCCAUGGUGGAAUGGCAGACACACUAGGCUGAGACCCUAGGCUCGAAUGAGCGUCCGAGUUCGAUUCUCGGUGGGCGUA
rnacentral:tRNA from 1 species